GCGAGGAGAACACAGGGAUUGCCUUAGUAACGGCGAGUGAAGCGGCAACAGCUCAAAUUUGAAAUCUGGCUCUUUUAGAGUCCGAGUUGUAAUUUGCAGAGGGCGCUUUGGCGUUGGCAGCGGUCCAAGUUCCUUGGAACAGGACGUCACAGAGGGUGAGAAUCCCGUACGUGGUCGCUAGCCAUCACCGUGUAAAGCCCCUUCGACGAGUCGAGUUGUUUGGGAAUGCAGCUCUAAAUGGGAGGUAAAUUUCUUCUAAAGCUAAAUACUGGCCAGAGACCGAUAGCGCACAAGUAGAGUGAUCGAAAGAUGAAAAGCACUUUGGAAAGAGAGUCAAAUAGCACGUGAAAUUGUUGAAAGGGAAGCGCUUGCAGCCAGACUUGCCUGUAGUUGCUCAUCCGGGCUUUUGCCCGGUGCACUCUUCUGCGGGCAGGCCAGCAUCAGUUUGGGCGGUUGGAUAAAGGUCUCUGUCAUGUACCUCUCUUCGGGGAGAACUUAUAGGGGAGACGACAUACAACCAGCCUGGACUGAGGUCCGCGCAUUUGCUAGGAUGCUGGCGUAAUGGCUGUAAGCGGCCCGUCUUGAAACACGGACCAAGGAGUCUAACAUCUAUGCGAGUGUUUGGGUGUCAAGCCCGAGCGCGUAAUGAAAGUGAACGGAGGUGGGACCCCUUUUAGGGUGCACCAUCGACCGAUCCUGAUGUCUUCGGAUGGAUUUGAGUAAGAGCAUGGCUGUUGGGACCCGAAAGAUGGUGAACUAUGCUUGAAUAGGGUGAAGCCAGAGGAAACUCUGGUGGAGGCUCGCAGCGGUUCUGACGUGCAAAUCGAUCGUC
rnacentral:rRNA from 1 species